rnacentral:rRNA from 1 species
AGUGAACGCUGGCGGUAGGCCUAACACAUGCAAGUCGAACGGCAGCACAGUAAGAGCUUGCUCUUACGGGUGGCGAGUGGCGGACGGGUGAGGAAUACAUCGGAAUCUACUUUUUCGUGGGGGAUAACGUAGGGAAACUUACGCUAAUACCGCAUACGACCUACGGGUGAAAGCAGGGGAUCUUCGGACCUUGCUCGAUUGAAUGAGCCGAUGUCGGAUUAGCUAGUUGGCGGGGUAAAGGCCCACCAAGGCGACGAUCCGUAGCUGGUCUGAGAGGAUGAUCAGCACCACCGGAACUGAGACGCGGUACAGCAUCCAACGGGAGGCAGCAGUGGGGAAUAUUGGACAAUGGGCGAAAGCCUGAUCCAGCCAUACCGCGUGGGUGAAGAAGGCCUUCGGGUUGUAAAGCCCUUUUGUAGGGAAAGAAAAGCAGCAGGUUAAUACCCCGCUGUUCUGACGGUACCCAAAGAAUAGACACCGGCUAACUUCGU